rnacentral:rRNA from 1 species
GACGAACGCUGGCGGCGUGCUUAACACAUGCAAGUCGAACGGAAAGGCCCUGCUUUUGUGGGGUGCUCGAGUGGCGAACGGGUGAGUAACACGUGAGUAACCUGCCCUUGACUUUGGGAUAACUUCAGGAAACUGGGGCUAAUACCGGAUAGGAGCUCCUGCUGCAUGGUGGGGGUUGGAAAGUUUCGGCGGUUGGGGAUGGACUCGCGGCCUAUCAGCUUGUUGGUGGGGUAGUGGCUUACCAAGGCUUUGACGGGUAGCCGGCCUGAGCGGGUGACCGGCCACAUUGGGACUGGAAUGCGGCCCGGACUCCUACGGGAGGCAGCAGUGGGGAAUGUUGCACAAUGGGCGGAAGCCUGAUGCAGCAACGCCGCGUGCGGGAUGACGGCCUGCGGGUUGUAAUCCGCUUUCGCCUGUGACGAGGCGUGAGUGACGGUAAUGGGUAAAGAAGCACCGGCUAACUACGUG